rnacentral:lncRNA from 1 species
GGAGAACAAGCCAGCCUGCAGAAUGAAGGAACAGAGCAAGAUCAGGGCCAGGGCUAGUACACUUAAAUGAGGAAGCUGGCUGCAGUACCAAGGCUAAUUUGGCAAAGAAGGAAUGGCGGUCACACCUCUGGGGUUUAGACUCUGAAAAGAGAUAAGGAACUCUAGUCCCAGGACUUGCCCCACUAAGCCUUUUCUUACAGAGAGAUGGAGGCUAUAUUUUCUUAAUAUACCUAAACAAAAAUUGAAUCAAAAGUCAUGUCUAGAGAUGGGAUGUCCUGUGUUUAAAUUUGUUUCAGACACUUCCUAGCUAUGACUCUGGACAAGUCACAACUCAAUUGCCUUACCUUUACCCCACAUCUGCCUUGGAAGCAAUACUUAGUAUUAUUCCAAGAUGGAAGAUAUUCAUUGCCAUAAGAGAUGAGAGGUCAAGACACCAUGCAGUUGCUUAAUUGGUGACUUUAGGAAUGAAAUCCAGAAGUUACACUGGCUCAGAGACCACUUUCUUCCUUCAUCUGCAAUUGGAAUCUGUCCUUUGACUCAUGCUUCUGCUCUGAUGGACAGGUCAAUUUUUCGUAUGGACACAGCUGCUCUGUUUCAGGCUUCUGGAUUGGCUACUCCCUUGCCUGAUCUUUCCUGGACCAGAACCCAGAUUUCCUCCCACUUGUCCAGCCUGGCUUCUUGA